rnacentral:rRNA from 1 species
UACGUAGGAGGCGAGCGUUGUCCGGAAUCACUGGGUGUAAAGCGCGUGUAGGCGGCCUGCCAAGUCUGCUGUGAAAGCGCCUGGCUUAACCGGGCGAGGUCGGUGGAAACUGGCGGGCUGGAGGUCGGUAGAGGGGGGUGGAAUUCCCGGUGUAGUGGUGAAAUGCGUAGAGAUCGGGAGGAACACCAGUGGCGAAGGCGGCCCCCUGGGCCGUACCUGACGCUGAGACGCGAAAGCGCGGGGAGCGAACGGG